rnacentral:rRNA from 1 species
UACAGAGGUCCCGAGCGUUUGUUCGGAUUUAUUGGGCGUAAAGGGUGCGUAGGCGGCGGAGUAAGUUGGGUGUGAAAUCCCGGGGGCUCAACCUCGGAAUGGCAUUCAAUACUGCUUCGCUAGAGUACUGGAGAGGAGGCUGGAAUUUACGGUGUAGCAGUGAAAUGCGUAGAUAUCGUAAGGAAGGCCGGUGGCGAAAGCGAGCCUCUGGACAGUUACUGACGCUGAUGCACGAAGGCCAGGGGGAGCAAACGGG